GCUUGCCCUUUUAACUGUUCCUUCCCUGGCUCUGUUCCAUCGACCAUACAUCAUGGACCGACUGUAUUUCACAAAAAAACUUUCAAAAUGUAUUUGCAAAAUGCAAGCGGUCCCAUCUGAAUCGUCGUACAGAUCUCGGUACACCAAUACACAACUAAUAUAGUUCUGCAUACACGUACGGUAUGUGCUGCGCUCGUUCCAGCAACAUAUUUAGCAAGGAGAUUUACGCUCCUGAAAUCAUCUAGUGGCCUCGCGAAUGAUUAGCAGUGUGAAAAGUAACGUUUUUAUUCGCCUUCCAUUUCUCUAAUUUUUGGGUGGGUGAGGAACUUACUCUUAAAAAAAAAGUUGGUUUUUCUUCUUGUUCUACUUCUUCAGUUGGUCCAUACGCUGGCUUUUGUUGAAAACAGGCAGCAACAAUUAAUGAGCAAUGCACCUUUGCUGGUCUUUUGAGUGAGGCGAUCAUGAUACUGUAAGCUCUCACAAAUCGAAUAGAGCCAUGGCAUUUCUAUCUUCUCAUGUGCGAUACGGCACGUUCACUAGAUUAUGCCGAUACCGCAAAAGCUGGAGGCUGCACGGCGCUAAAAUCCUGGAGCUGCCGUACGUGGGAGAUCAUUGCAACGCCUAUUUCAUCCUCCCUGGCAAGAGACACUGGUUCUCAUGCUCACUGCGCAAAGACAGACUACGCCAUGUGGAAAAGUUGUUGACACCCGCAAUUUUACUCCAGGAAAUCGAGAAAAUGGACUUCCCACACGCUAUAACUGUGGAGAUACCGAAAUUCUCCUUGAAAAGCACCGUGGCGGUCGAGAAAGUCCUUGCGCAGAUGGGUAUGCCGACCGCGUUUUCCGACGAGGCUGACCUGUCCGGAAUCAGCACACAGUCGCCAUUGAAGAUUUCUACUGUCAUGCACACAGCCGUUUACGAAUUCAAAGGGUGCGGCGAUGGGGCUCAGUUGGGACAGAAGGCAGACCCGAAAAUCGCUGAUAAGUCGGGUAAGGAACGGAGCCUGCAACACAGUCAACACGCUCAACAGUGAUCAGCGGGCAUAGCUCAUACACGGGAUCGCAAUGUAGCAGCAUUAACAGCUAGCAGCUCGUCACUCGUAUAAUGGCCAGGUUGCUGCGGGUCGCCACAUCGCUAGCGCAAGUCAGAAAAUCAGCUCAUCGUUAAGGGCUGAAUGGCGGCGGACGGUGCACUUACCUGCUCAGAAGAUAAUUCACGGGCCGUAAGUGGCCUGUUGAUGCGGGCAACACUAGUCAGCGGAUAAAUAUCACAACACAACCGUCACUCCGUUUCUCAUCGUUCUUAUACCAUACGCACAAAACAAAUCGAAUCAGGUUUGUUUGUUAUAAUAGUUACAGCGCGGAAACCCUGGCGUUAGCUGUAAAAAUGAAACAGCGAAGAACUCACGGCGCUGCAUAUGCAAAUUAUCGCCGCAUGGCGUGCUUGCAUGAGACAGAGAGAGACAGAGGAGAGUGGGAAAGCGUGCGUGUGUGUGUGUGCCUGUCUGUUGCUAUGGCGGCUAAGCGAGCGCACAUGCUGCGUGCUGGACGGCGGCUCCAGUGUAUCGCUGGUACACGUGCUGUGCGAAUCUCAAGGAGACUCGCAGCGCAGCUGCAGCUGUCUGUGCAGGUGAGCACGCGUGCAGCACGACUGCACAGCUGCGACGGGAGUGUAUCGCUCAUGCAUCUGCUGUGCAGACCUCAAGCAGGUUUGCACCCCAGAUGCAUUCGGUAUAGGGGUGUCGCCCCUGGAAGGGGCGUUUCACAGCACACCAGAAUGAUCAGUAUUCAUCAAGCGUGGCAUUUAAGCUGCUAUGUCUAGACUUCCGGCCCCGACUUUUCUUGCAGCUCAAGCCGUGGUAACCUCGAGCGUCCACCCAUUCAUUGCAGACACAUCGGUGCGGAGUUACGAUCGGUGUACCCAGGCGCAGGCCAACAGCAAUUCGAAGUGCGGAAUCGUUUAAAAGGUUCCCCAGGGAUGCAGCUGGUAGAGCAUCUAGCCACGCUCCGUUGUCCUUGGUGCUUACACCUAGAAGCCGGGCUUGGCUGGAAAUGUCUGACUAGGCCAUUUCAGACAGCGUUUCCACGGCAAUUUGUAUGACUGGUUCAUCCCACACUUUCUGAAAUUUUCGGGCUUCAACGGCUGGAAGGUCGACUUCCGUCAUACGUUGCCACUCAGCUUUGGCGUCGUCGCAGUACACUUCCGGGUCGAAGUCGGUAAUUUUGGUUACUAGCCGGGUCACUGAAUCAGCCGAGGCCAAAAAGGCCGGAAGGGCAAGCUUUUCAAGACUCCGGAUUCCGAGACCUCCCUCUGCAACAGGAAGUGAUGCCUAAGUCCAGUUUAUUUCGGUGAGGCUAACGUUUGUGAUUGCUGAUAGGCAUUCACGAAUCAUGGUGUCAAAUUCAGUCAGCAGUCCUUUUUGGAGGUAACACCGAGCAGUGCGUAAUUUAUAGCUCAUACAUUAUAUCUAUACACAUAUUUAUACAUACAUAUACAUACAUAGAAAGGAUAUACGAUACACAUACGAUACGAUAUACAUAAAUUAUACAUAGACAUACAUGUAUUUACAUAGACAGAUGUAUGUAUGUAUAGAUAUAAUGUUUGUAUAGAUAUAUGUAUAGAUAUAAUGUAUGUAUACGUGUACGUAUAUAUACAUGUAAGCAUGUAUACUAACAAUUGUAAGUGUUUACAUGCAAGCCUGUAUACAUGUACGUAUACAUGCUUCUACACGUACAGUGGCGCAGUAAACUGCGCUUGUUCUUUUAAGGAUACCGUAAAUGAAAUGCUCUCCCGUUGUCGUGCAAUAGAAGCCAAACUGGUGAUCGGUCCUUUCACUUAUCACGCGGAUCAUCGCGUGAGUAGCGUGAUUACGCAGGUUUCAAUCGAUUUCCGAUAGCGACUUCUGUCGGUCCAUCCCGUAAGAAACUAGGAAGCAUCAGCUGGGAAGCUUUGUCUUCCGUUGUGUUUUGUAUCCCGCAUCCGCGCUUGUGGAACAAGCCGCACUGGCUGUAUGUACACGCAUAAAGUGACGAGUACGCGAGCUCCACGCACACUGCAAAGAAAAAGAAUCAUUGAUGAUUAUUGAUUUAACUGGCAAUCAUAUGGGCUGAAGGCAACGUGCUGGGCGUAAGGAAGAACUGGAUCCGAGGCUUUGCAGCGGCUGUACCCGCAAGACUGCCCCAUAUGGUCUUCCCAACAAUCCCGUGUGGCGAAUUUAAGGGAUUUCAGACUGUUCUGUGGACACUUUCUAACUGUGAUUACAACCGGAAACGAAAGCAGACUAGCUCUGUUUUCAGUUUUCCGUUUACGACUUUAAUUCGGCUCUAAUGGGGAAAUUCGGCCUGACAUUCGCGGCUAUCCUUAACCGCGACCAGACCUGGGCCUACCAUGAGAUCAUUACGGAGGCCCUGUUCGUGUUGUGGACCGGAUGCCAUUUGUCCUUGAAGUUCGGUACGCGCUUCUUCCCGGAAUGGGAGACAACGCGCAUCGACCCGGACAGCUACACCAGCCUCGAUCUUCUCCUGUGGCAACUGCUGGGUCAGGAUAUAACUGGAUGUAUGUGGGAUGACGUCGUCUCCCCGUGGAAGCCUUCCACGCCGCAAACGCCCUCUAAUGCGGUUAUGACAAGCACCUGGCGCGGUACUGCCGGCUACGUGGGAGCCGUCGCGGUCGUCGUCCUGACCGUGCUUCUCGGCGUCUCCGUUCUGUGUUCGGCGUGGGUCAACCGUCACUGGAGAUUUUCCCGCUGGACACAACACUUUCGCCACUGUCGGCGUAUCACGACCUGGUUCGGCUAUAACACGACCUUUAACGGUGACGAAAGCGACUGGCCUGCGUACGGUGCUACCGGUUGGCGCUUCUGGGCUCUUUGGUGCCUUCUGAGCUUGACCGGUAUGACCGUGUUCGCCGGGUUGUGGCUGGUCUGCUGCGCUCUACCGGUGGUCAUUGCGGCGGGACUGACGGUGGCCUGGAUCGGCCGACACGUCGGGGAAGAGGCCGUGUUUCCGGCGACGGUGGUGUGCUUCGGUCUGCUGGCUGUCCAUUGCACCGGCCGGAUCUGGGGAUUCGGGAUGAACGAGACGUAUUUCACGCAGCUGCACGAGAAAAUCAGGAAUGCCACGGGAAUCCGUUUUCUCGUGCAGCCGUUGGCGGCUGACCAGAGGAGAGACACUGCACACACAUGGGACGCAGCGACCGAUGAAUCGUUGUUCGUGCAGCGCGCGAGAUGGGGCCGCACCUUCCUCUUGUUAGUGUUUCCGGCGUGGUUGGCUCUGUGCAACCACAGCAUGCUCGUGCUGCAUGAGCUGCCGUUCCCGGUCGGCUGGAUGGAUCCCUUCUUGCAUCCGUCAAGGGCUCUCUUGGCAUUACCUGACGAUUUCUCCAGCGAAUCGGUAUCCGCCGCGGGAAUCGACUGGACAACCCCCAACUGCACCGAUUGCUGUGACAACUACGCAACGGGAAUGGACCAAUCGAGAGCGAUGAUGUCGUACUACGUUGAUCUGAAAUAUCCCCGUGGGCCAACAAGCAAUCCGGCCAUGGUGACGCUGUUCAACACGGUCUUCUCGCCGCUGACGGAACGCUUCUAUUGCGUGUGGAUGACGAUCGUUGCGUGGGCGGUCGGGCUCCCGUUGAUUGCCACUGGAACGGCGGGAGCAGUAAUUAUGGCGGGAUGUUGUGGCUCGUUUGUCUUCCGCGGACUUAUCAAGAUACUGAAGAUUCUCAGUAACGCGGACGACCUCAACAAGACGAAAACGGAACCAGAGGAAUGCGCGAUCGAGGCCAAGAAACCGUUCUGCGUGUGCGCUUUGUGGGUGGUCUUCGAACGGUACAUCCUGGUGGUGUUUUCUCGUUUUAUCAUCUGGUUGUUUAUCCCGUUCCCGCUGCUGGAGCUGAUGCUGCCGGAGCAGUGGCUGUUGCCGGCUUGGCUGCUACUGCUGAGUGUUGUCGAAGUGGGCUUCUGGUGGUGGGUGUGGAACUCCCUCUGUAGCGGCUGCCGUGAACGGCGCACAGGCUAUGGCCGAGUGAAGACCGCAGCGGAAGAUGAUGAUGCACCACUGUUGACAAUGUAGUACUUGCUUCCCAUAAGCUUGCCAUUUUAACUGUUUCUUCCUUGGCUCUGGUUCCAUCGACCAUCAUGGACCGACUGUAUUUCACAAAAAAACUUCCAAAAUGUAUUUGCAAAAUGCAGGCGGUCUCAUCUGAAUCGUCGUAUAGAUCUGUACACCAAUACACAACUAAUACAGUUCUGCAGACACGUACCUACGGUAUGUGCUGUGCUUGUUCCAGCAGCAUAUUUAGCAAGGAGAUUUACGCUCCUGAAAUCACCUAGUGGCCUCGCGGAUGGUUAGCACCUUUACUGGUCUUUUGAGUGAGGCGAUCAUGAUACUGUAAGCUCUCACAAAUCGAAUAGAGCCAUGGCAUUUCGACCUUCCCAUGUGCGAUAUCAACGUGACAACGAGAAUCCGAAAUGCGCAGCGUUUGCCGCGCUAACACUGCAACUUGUAUGCAGUGGUACUGGCUAAACAUUAAAAUAAGCCAUCAAAGAUCAUCGAUGAUAACGACGAUCGAUCAAAGGCCAUCGAUGAUUUAGAUAAUUCAUAUAGUUAUGGGGACUAAGCAGAGCUCGUUUUUUAUGUGCUCCUUUCCCUGUAAUGCUACGCCGAUUGUGCUACGCAUUUUUAUGGCUUUCUUCGCCACUAGCCUAAACAGAAGGAGCAGAAGCAGCCCUACAUCCGCUAGAUCGACUGGGCGUAAGCCCAAAAUAAAGACAGCAUGGACACACAUAAUUUUACAAUCAUCAGUACUGUGAAUACCGUACACUGCACUUGCAGUAGUUUACUCAUGCACUCGUGCUUGCACUUAUGCUCCACAUGCCUUUGAAUAGUUGCAUGCGGCAGAAACACUGCAUACAGUGCUUUAUCGAUUCUUUUGAAACCUUGACUGCAACUCUUUAGUGCGCAGCUGAUUUAACACGAUCCCAUGUGAUAUGUUCUUAUAUUUCUUUAUUAAAUAAUAUAGUAUGUCAGUUUGCGUAUUACUUUUGUGAAUUUCAGAACUAUAUUAAUACAUUAUGGCAUGCGAAGAUCUGUUAUUUAGGAAUCGUCUGCGCUUCUCUUUUGCUCUGUACAAAACAAUGCUGGCUCAUCUUUCCAGGAAAGAUAAUUUGCUGGUAUCACCAUUCUCUGCAGAAUUGGCCGCUGUUGCGGCAUACAUUGGAGCGCAGGAAAAAACACGCGGUGAAAUAGCGGACGUGUUAGGCUCGACAGCAGAUUACACAGUCGAGGACAUUGCUGACUGUUUAACGCAAAUUAGCCGCGAUGAAGCCCGAGGGAUCACGUUUCUCUGCGAUGAAAUUGAAGGCAGAGGGUUCAUGUACAUCCACGAUGACCCUAAACAGAUCACGGAAGUCUUCGAUGAAAUCACAAAGAUCGCGUUCAAACCAGAAAAGUGGAUCAAAAACUUUGAAUUGUCAUCCCGCUUGGGGAUUUUUGUCGAAACAAGUCUUCCUGUGAACGAACGUUACGUCGAACGCGCACAGAGUCUCGUCAAAGCAGAUUGCUUCCCGGUGAAAUUUUCAAGUGAUCCCGAUAGUGCUUGGGAAAAUGUGAGAAACUUUGUAACGGCGCCAACGAAGGGAAAAGUGCCAAAAAUGGGUUAUCCAGAAUCCCGUCGGCUUUUAAUUUAGCAUUCGCGACUACUGCUCAUCUUCAGUCUAACUGGGCGAAGCAUUUUCCUGGGCACCAGACCACCAAGAAAUGGUUCACCCUGGCU